rnacentral:rRNA from 1 species
UACGAAGGGUGCAAGCGUUAAUCGGAAUUACUGGGCGUAAAGGGAGCGUAGGCGGCUUUUUAAGUCGGAUGUGAAAUCCCCGGGCUCAACCUGGGAAUGGCAUUCGAUACUGGAGAGCUAGAGUUUGGGAGAGGGUGAUGGAAUUCCCGGUGUAGCGGUGAAAUGCGCAGAUAUCAGGAGGAACACCGGUGGCGAAGGCGGGUCUCUGGGCCGUAACUGACGCUGAGGAGCGAAAGCGUGGGGAGCGAACAGG